CAAAGUCAAAAUAGCUGUGGAGGAACAAGCUGUUCUGCCUCAUGUCUCAUCAACAUUCCUUGCUCAGUGUAUCAAAACACAGAGUGCAUACAGAGCAAAUGCAACAACUCUUCAAAAAGUUCCCUGUUGGGGAUUUUCUUCUCGGGAAACCAUCCACAACUGCCUACUUAAAACAUCAAAAGAAAGGUUUCUGAAGGCCUGUACUCAGCACUACCUGUGGCCACAUUGUGGAAGGAAAAGCUGAGACCCAGCUGGACUAGUGUAAAGCUCAAGUCCCGAGCACAAGAGGUGACAAUUCUGCAGGAGAAGAGUGCCAUCUGCAGGAAGACUGUAUAAGAGCUGGCAAAGCCUCAGAGUUAACAAAAAUGAGACAAUUCAUUAGUGGAGAUUCCAUACUCAGCAAAUU